rnacentral:rRNA from 1 species
AGCGAACGCUGGCGGCAGGCUUAACACAUGCAAGUCGAGCGGGCACUUCGGUGUCAGCGGCAGACGGGUGAGUAACACGUGGGAACGUACCCUUUGGUUCGGAAUAACGCUGGGAAACUAGCGCUAAUACCGGAUACGCCCUUUUGGGGAAAGGCUUGCUGCCGAAGGAUCGGCCCGCGUCUGAUUAGCUAGUUGGUGGGGUAAUGGCCUACCAAGGCGACGAUCAGUAGCUGGUCUGAGAGGAUGAUCAGCCACACUGGGACUGAGACACGGCCCAGACUCCUACGGGAGGCAGCAGUGGGGAAUAUUGGACAAUGGGCGCAAGCCUGAUCCAGCCAUGCCGCGCGAGUGAUGAAGGCCUUAGGGUUGUAAAGCUCUUUUGUCCGGGACGAUAAUGACGGUACCGGAAGAAUAAGCCCCGGCUAACUUCGUG